rnacentral:rRNA from 1 species
UACGUAGGGGGCAAGCGUUGUCCGGAUUUAUUGGGCGUAAAGAGCGUGUAGGCGGCCAUACAGGUCAGCUGUGAAAACUCGAGGCUCAACCUCGAGACGUCGGUUGAAACCGUAUGGCUAGAGUCCGGAAGAGGAGAGUGGAAUUCCCGGUGUAGCGGUGAAAUGCGCAGAUAUCGGGAAGAACACCCGUGGCGAAGGCGGCUCGCUGGGACGUGACUGACGCUGAGCUGCGAAAGCUAGGGGAGCAAACAGG